AUUGAACGCUGGCGGCAGGCCUAAUACCUGCAAGUCGAACGUGUGGCGGCCGGGUGAGUAAUGUAUGGGAACCUGCCUGCUGGAGGGGGUUAACUAAUGGAAACGGUAGCUAAUACCGCAUACCAUCAGAUGUGCCCAGAUGGGAUUAGCUUGUUGGUGGGGUAACGGGUCACCUAGGCGACGAUCCCUAGCUGGUCUGCGAGGAUGACCAGCCACCCGGGAACUGUGACACGGUCCAGACUCUUACGGGAGGCAGCAGUGGGAAAUAUUGCACAAUGGGCGCAAGCCUGAUGCAGACAUGCCGCGUGUAUGAAGAAGGCCUUCGGGUUGUAAGGUACGUUCAGCGGGGAGGCGUUACCCGCAGAAGAAGCACCGGCUAACGCCGUGCCAGCAGCCGCGGUAAUAC
rnacentral:rRNA from 1 species